UACGUAGGGGGCAAGCGUUAUCCGGAUUUACUGGGUGUAAAGGGAGCGUAGACGAUAUGGCAAGUCUGAUGUGAAAACCCGGGGCUCAACCCCGGGACUGCAUUGGAAACUGUCGGACUAGAGUGUCGGAGAGGCAAGUGGAAUUCCUAGUGUAGCGGUGAAAUGCGUAGAUAUUAGGAGGAACACCAGUGGCGAAGGCGGCUUGCUGGACGAUGACUGACGUUGAGGCUCGAAAGCGUGGGGAGCAAACAGG
rnacentral:rRNA from 1 species